UACGUAGGAUCCAAGCGUUAUCCGGAUUUACUGGGCGUAAAGCGUACGUAGGCGGCGCGUUAAGUGCAAUGCGAAAUCUUGCGGCUCAACCGUAUAGACUGUGUUGCAUACUGGCGUGCUAGAGGAUGGCAGAGGCAAGUGGAAUUACCGGUGUAGCAGUGAAAUGCGUAGAUAUCGGUAGGAACACCAAUGGCGAAGGCAGCUUGCUGGGCCACACCUGACGCUGAGGUACGAAAGCGUGGGGAGCGAACCGG
rnacentral:misc_RNA from 1 species